rnacentral:rRNA from 1 species
CCUACGGGAGGCAGCAGUGAGGAAUAUUGGUCAAUGGGCGCGAGCCUGAACCAGCCAAGUAGCGUGAAGGAUGACUGCCCUACGGGUUGUAAACUUCAUUUAUAAAGGAAUAAAGUGAGGCACGUGUGCCAUUUUGUAUGUACUUUAUGAGUAAGGAUCGGCUAACUCCGUGCCAGCAGCCGCGGUAAUACGGAGGGUCCGAGCGUUAUCCGGAUUGAUUGGGUUUAAAGGGAGCGUAGAUGGGGUGUUAAGUCAGUUGUGAAAGUGUGCGGCUCAACCGUAAAACUGCAAUUGAUACUGGCAGUCUAGAGUACAGGUGAGGUAGGCGGAAUUCGUGGUGUAGCGGUGAAAUGCUUAGAUAUCACGAAGAACUCCGAUUGCGAAGGCAGCUUACUAAACUGCCACUGACAUUGAUGCUCGAAAGUGUGGGUAUCAAACAGGAUUAGAUACCCUGGUAGUC